UACGGGGGGAGCAAGCGUUGUUCGGAUUUACUGGGCGUAAAGGGCGGGUAGGCGGCCACCGCAAGUCAGUUGUGAAAUCUCUGGGCUUAACCCAGAAAGGUCAACUGAUACUGCGGGGCUAGAGUGCAGAAGGGGCAACUGGAAUUCUCGGUGUAGCGGUGAAAUGCGUAGAUAUCAGGAGGAACACCGAUGGCGAAGGCAGGUCUCUGGGCAUUAACUGACGCUGAGGAGCGAAAGCAUGGGGAGCGAACAGG
rnacentral:rRNA from 1 species